AUUGAACGCUGGCGGCAUGCCUUACACAUGCAAGUCGAACGGUAACGGGCCUUCGGGUGCCGACGAGUGGCGAACGGGUGAGUAAUACAUCGGAACGUGCCCGAUCGUGGGGGAUAACGAGGCGAAAGCUUUGCUAAUACCGCAUACGAUCUACGGAUGAAAGCAGGGGACCGCAAGGCCUUGCGCGGACGGAGCGGCCGAUGGCAGAUUAGGUAGUUGGUGGGAUAAAAGCUUACCAAGCCGACGAUCCGGAGCUGGUCUGAGAGGAUGAUCAGCCACACUGGGACUGAGACACGGCCCAGACUCCUACGGGAGGCAGCAGUGGGGAAUUUUGGACAAUGGGCGCAAGCCUGAUCCAGCCAUGCCGCGUGCAGGAUGAAGGCCUUCGGGUUGUAAACUGCUUUUGUACGGAACGAAAAGCCUUCUUUUAAUACAGGAGGGUCAUGACGGUACCGUAAGAAUAAGCACCGGCUAACUACGUG
rnacentral:rRNA from 1 species